UCCAAAAACAAAAGAAUAUGGAACACUCUGCUAAACAGAUGAUGGAUUCACGGGACAUCCUGACCGUCCGCGAGGUAACUUUCGGCCAAAGAAGAAUCUAAACCGAUCACCCAGAUGAUGUUCAGCCCAAUCUACCUCCAACUCGCGGAAACUAUCAAGUCCCUACCAACCGACAACUGGUGUGAUUUAUUUACCACCACGCGGCAGGUCCUCUUGACAGGGUGCUUCUUUUUAAGGGCAGCGAGAUCCGGGGAACCGCUUGCCGUCUCCUACGAAGAUCUCGAAAAUUUAAAUCUAUCGGGAAGUUGGAGACUUGGCCGACACAGGGAGCGCCGCAUAUCUUUCUAACAGCAGAUAUGUUCAAACUUCUGAUGGUGUACCUAAACAAGCACAAGAAGGUUAUAAUGGACAGCGUAGGUCACCAGGUGUUCUGCGGCUUUAAUGGG